rnacentral:rRNA from 1 species
GACGAACGCUGGCGGCGUGCUUAACACAUGCAAGUCGAACGGAAAGGCCCUGCUUUUGUGGGGUGCUCGAGUGGCGAACGGGUGAGUAACACGUGAGUAACCUGCCCUUGACUUUGGGAUAACUUCAGGAAACUGGGGCUAAUACCGGAUAGGAGCUCCUGCUGCAUGGUGGGGGUUGGAAAGUUUCGGCGGUUGGGGAUGGACUCGCGGCUUAUCAGCUUGUUGGUGGGGUAGUGGCUUACCAAGGCUUUGACGGGUAGCCGGCCUGAGAGGGUGACCGGCCACAUUGGGACUGAGAUACGGCCCAGACUCCUACGGGAGGCAGCAGUGGGGAGUAUUGCACAAUGGGCGGAAGCCUGAUGCAGCAACGCCGCGUGCGGGAUGACGGCCUUCGGGUUGUAAACCGCUUUCGCCUGUGACGAAGCGUGAGUGACGGUACUGGGUAAAGAAGCACCGGCUAACUACGUG